AUGGUAGAUGGAAAAUGUUCAAACGAAUUAACUUUUGUGUAAUCAAGUUAGUUUCUGUGGACAAAUUCGAAAUGGUACUCAUGUGAUAUCGCUGAUCUCGGCCAUCCUUGUUUUCAAAUUCAGAUUAUAAUCCUUCUCUGUUCGGCAUUGUAGCGAAUGCGAAAAAAAGGUACAAUAUAGAUUCAACCGAGCGCAAAUGCAGCGAACCACCGAAGGAGAAAGCCGUACCGCAACAGUGACAAUUUUAAUCAUGUGGUUUGCUAUCCAAUAACUGGGCGCCCAAAAAUAGCAGUAGAUACUGUAGGUAGUUUUUUUUUAAAAGUGCUUCUGAUUUAGAAAGUUAAUUCCCAUUAUUGCUAAUCAUGGGCCUCGGCACGAAAAUCACUCUAGUAUCACUGGCUUCCCUCAUAGCCGCUCUGGGAGCAUACGUUUAUCAAAAGAAGAAAAAGGAAAUCAUCCCAUGGACAUGGGAGGAGGUGGGAAAAUUGACCAAACUGAACUUGUUCCCGCUGAAAAGUGGACAUCGAAUUGAGCUGCAUAAAGCCGAAUGCACCAAGUAUGGAUUGCGCCAAACUAAGGACGAAGAUGCGGUGCAACUCAGAGAUAGUUCAAAUUUUAGGUGUCUAGUUGUAUACUCGGAAAAGGACAAUGAGUUUCGAACAGCACGCACUUACCCAAAAAUGGUCCUAAUUGAUGUUUCAGUGCACGAUGAUAAAUAUUUGGCAGUAGAUGUACCUACUAUGAGAACGUUGUACGUUCAAAUACCCAUCAAAGAUGAAAACAAAGAGUCCUUUAUCAGAUUGCAUAAAGGCGAAGAAAUGUAUGCCAUUGACUGUGGAGACGAAGCUGCUUCUUGGUUUUCCAGAUACAUCUUGGGCAAAGACGUCGGUUUAAGGCUGGGCUUUCACGAUGCGAGCAGAAGCAGAAACAUCAGCAAAACGCAUAAAACCAUUCUGGAUUAUUACACGAAUUUGACCAAUAGCUCAACAGGCCUGUAUUCGGAUCUCACAGCUGUGUUACUUGUGAACCAUGCCUCAGUGAGAGACUUGAAUGCAAGGAUCGGGACUUCUAGCGUCUCUGUGGACAAUUUUAGACCCAAUGUGGUCGUGGAUGGGCCCAAGCUGGAAGCUUACGCUGAAGAUGAUUGGGAUUGGAUCAAAAUUGGCGACGUUGUGUUAAGGAACGUUAAGGAAUGUACCAGGUGCAUAAUGACAACGAUCGACCCGGAAAAUGAGAACCGAAGCUCAGACAGGGAACCCUUGAAAACUCUGGAAACAUAUCGUCUCAGCAAUGGACCAAGCAGGUUACCCACAAUGGGCAUUAAUUGUGAAGUGAAAGUAGAAGGAAUUAUUAAGUUAGGAGACCCGGUUUUCAUCUCGAAGAGUGUCUUGAGCUCAGCCACUAACGGAACCAUCAAACACUAAGUCUUCGUCCUGAUCAAACACUAGCAGUUUAUACAGGAGUUUAGCUUGCUUUAGAAACUACAUAAUUUAGCGUUAUCUACUGUUAAAAUCCCAUGUAAAUAAGACAUAUAGAUCUAAAUAACAGUUGAAAUGUACAUAUGCAGAAAGCUUAUUGCAAUUAGUGUCGUAGCAAAAUAAAAGUUAGAAAAACUGGAAA
rnacentral:misc_RNA from 1 species